AGAGUGAGAGGUGAUUGGCUGGCGUGUCGUGGUGCUCUUUGUAAAUUCUCCCUUGGUGCGGCGGGUGCGUCGUGUGGCUCUCGUCAGAGCGGAAUCGGUCACUCGCUGGUUUCUGGGAGAGAGAAAAGAGACAGCACAUUAGUCCUUGGCCAGAGCGAACUCUGUCCGUCUCGCAAUAAUGUGAAUAAUGUGUCACGCACACGCAAAAAUGAGUUGGGAAAGCCAUUUGAAUUCUAGUAAUAACGAAAGAAUUGCAAUGCUCGGGUAAACCGCUAUACUAUACAGCUGCUGCCGCUAUAGAGUUAGAACCGGUGAAUGCGGUUUACAGAAAGAAUGAUGUGCACCAAAUGAGUCGCUGUAAAAACUGAAUACUUCAGUGGUUGCGGACGAAGUAGCUCAAAUCGAGAGCCAACGCAAUGACAUGUGAAAUAAAAUGUCCUCAUGUAUUAAAGUGCAUAUUGCAGGUUAAAUUUUUUUUUCCAAUUAUGAAAUUAUAUGAACCAUAUUAAACCAUAUGAAAAGUUAAUGCAGGAUUUUUAAUGUUUUACAAGACAUGAGGGCUCAAAUUUAGUAGACAAAGUCACAGUUUCCGUGACUGUUCUGAAAAAUCGCCUUUUUUUUAACAUCGCGUCAUAUUACGUCACGAGAGGGAGUCCUGUCCCGCGCUCUGCGUUGGCGCGGUGCAGAGUAGGUUGGUAUUCAGUUAGAGCAGUCGUGUUUUCGGUAGUUUUUGUAUUUCGAUUUAUCAUCAUCAUGGUAAAUUAUUGUGUUUAUGGAGGUUGCACAAACUCCAGCCUGUCAGGACAUCGAGUCCACAGGUUUCCUAACAAGGAAAAGAACGGUGCUGUCUUCCGGGCCUGGGUGCGUUUUGUGCAGGUGAAGAGACGUGACUUCACUUCUGCAUCUGCUUCGAAAAACGCGGUGGUGUGUAGUGUUCACUUUAGAUCGGAGGAUUAUCAUCCCGGUGAUAUGGAGUUCAACAUGGGAUGCCGAAGCAAGAACCAAGUGAGGCUCAGAGCUGGUGCGGUUCCUUCGGUGCACUCAGCAUCUCCAUCGGGUCCGCCAUCAGCCUGUGGUUCUGCUGCCGGCGGGAAACAUGAUGGUCAUGCAUCAGUCAGAGAUGCAGCUCGACGAAAACGUGGACUAUGCACCGCUUUGGAAGAAACUGCAAGUAAUGAAGGGGGAGAUGCAUCUACAGCUGACCCAGAGCAGGAUGCUUUCUUUCCACUGGCCCCUCAAUCAUCUAUGCUUCACUUUGGCUCACAGUGUAACCUCAGACCUUCACAACGCUCAUCAGUUCAGGCACAGCCCAAGAUGGUCAGAAAGGUUUGAGAAACAAACAUCAACUCCACUGCCCAGUCCUGUGCACAGCGAUGAUGAAUCAUCCUCUGUUUUCAUGGAUGAACAUGGUGAUGUGUCAUGGAUCCCAGAGGAGGAAAUGAGAAGUGACUUAUCUGAUGAGGAACCACUGCAGGAAUCUCUCCCUGACCUCAAUGCUGCUGACAAGUUCAUUGUGUGCCAAAGCCAGCUGAUGUCUCUCUUUACAAUUUGCCCGGUAUGUUGUGAGGAAACCCAAGGACAAAUUGAGAAGCAGGAGGGAACUUUUGUAAAAAUAAAGCAAGUCUGUGCAGCAUGUGGGUAUCAGCGGUUUUGGCAGAACCAGCCAAUGCUGCAUCGAAAUAUGCCAGCCUGCAACCUUUUACUGAGUGGGGCCAUUCACUUUUCCGGUUGCAUGGCUACCCAGACCAUCAGGAUGUUGAAGCUGUUUGGGCUUCAGAGCAUCAGUGUCGGAACCUUCUUCUGCCAUCAGCGCUUGUACACAAUUCCUACCAUUGUGCAGGCAUGGCAGAAUGAGCAGGCAGGGGUCAUUAGAGAUUUAAAUGAGAUGAGGGGUGGGCUGAUCCUGUCUGGUGACUGCAGGUCAGAUUCUCCUGGCCAUUGUGCAAAAUAUGGCACAUAUUCAUUAAUUGAGGACAGAAUCAACAAGGUUUUAGAUAUUCAGAGUGGCUCGAUUAAGUGCUGGAAAUAGCGGACGACGGGCACAGAAUGGAGAGCAUCAACCCUUAAUUGACAUGAGGAACAAAUCAUUGAAAGGUGUUCAGUGUACAGUGUACCCCUCUUUGCAACAGAGGAAGCAUUAGGAAAGAGGAGAAGAGAGAAAGUGAAAAGGCACUCAACAGAUGUUGGAAAAUGCACUGGUAACAACUAAAAAAAGAAGACCAAAAAUAUAAUUCAACAGAGGAUGAUGGCUGUGGUGAAACAAGCACUCAAAUAAUGGAACUAAGACCUGUGGGAGUGCUGGAGAAAUCAAGAGUAUAAGUCCUCUGUCUCCUCAGCCAUGGAAGAGAUCUUCAGACAUGAAGAGAUUGAGGAGUUAAAUUAAAUCAAAGAGCUAAAAGAAGAUUUACAAUACUAGUGCCAUUUCAGUAUGAAAACAGAGAGAGAGCUGAGGGAAUGGAAAGAAAUGCAUGUUAUUGUGCAAGGCGUAGUUGCAUGGACUCUCAGUGGAGGAACAGAAAGCUCUGAGAUUUCAUUAUAAAAGAUCUUCAUUUGUGUUCUGAAGAUGAACAAAAGACUUGCGGGUUUGGAACGAUAUGAGGACUACAUCCAAAAGAGUGUUUCCACAUCUGAGAUAAAGGCAGUCAUAAGAACCAAGCGGAACGAUGAGGAUAAGCUCUUCAGAAAAUGAAACCUGUCUGAAUAAUGAGGAAAGAAAUGUGCAUGAUUGCGUGAUUUGUAAAUAAACACUAAAUACAUUUAGUGUAACUCUCAGCCUGUUGUUUUAAGUUAAAGAAAAGUGAAAUCAUUUAUUGUUGCAUUGCUGUUUGAGACAUUCACUGU